rnacentral:lncRNA from 1 species
UCGGUCAAACCCUUAGUGUAUCCCUCCAAAGUUCCCAACAACUCAAUGUCAAAUGUGAAAACACCCGUUCAGCUAUACAAAUACCUACUAAGGCAAGUUAGGCUUCUGCCUAAAAAUUCACAGGACUACUACAACAAUUAUGUGAGACAGGUAAGAUAUAUUUUCACAUUCUUAUGAAGUCUUACAUUAAUCUAAACAUUUCUGUAAAUGAUUUGUUUCCUCUAAAAUGACAUUUCGAACAAUUGGUGGCGACAUUCUAUAACUGCUAACUGCUUCUAUUUAGCAUUAUUUUUUUGUUAAAUAUUAAUUAAUUUGUUUAUAAAUAGUGGUAAAAAGUACGAAAAGCAGAAAAACAUAAUCGGGUACAUUUAUGUGAUAGGGAAAGAAACGGUUUAUUUGUUAUCAUAAAUAGGGUUCCAUGGUUGUUGUGUGCUCCAUUAUUUAGGAGGAAUAAAUAGUCCGACAUAGAUUUUCAGGUCCCUUCAGGUCUUUUCAUUUCUCCGUUCAGGUCCAACUUUUGGCAUCAAAAAAUAACAUUUAAAUUUUAAUGAAAUAUGAAUAUUUACAAUUAAUAAAAUUCUAACUUGAAGAAAUUCCAUCCAAUAAUAAAAAAGCUAUUGCAAUUUGAAUAAUUUUAGUCGUAUAUUUUCAGGUCUUUUCAGGUCCACUUUCAGGUCUUUAGUGUAACCCUCAUAAACAUGUAUGUAAAUUCCUCCUAAAUAAUGGAGCACACAACAACCAUGGACAUCACUAAGCUCUGACAGAAAAUAGUUAUGUACUUAUUUGUCCGAUUUAGUUUCAUUCCUUCGUUGAGUUGGCAGCAUGAUGAUAUAUGAUUUGAUAUAUCAUGUAUUUUAAUUCGAAAAAAACAAGAUAAGAUCUACAAUUUAAGUCAAAUAUAGUUGAUAUCGUAAGCCUAUUCGUUAUUGAAAGUUCAACAUGCCAGGUGAACAAAAAAGGAGAUCAUCGUCAUGAAUUCUAUUCUAGUCUACAAUGUUAGAGAAUGUCCAUUCAUAUCAUCUGUUAAACUGGUUAUUUGAAAUUAAAGACUCGCAUGGUCUUGGCGAGCUUAGGUAAAUGUGCAGACGAUAAGCCCCCGUGGUUUAUGUAAGUUUUAUUAAAGAUGCAGUCAAGUAAAAACUUCUUAACAGUGACAUCUAACUAGCAGACUAGUAAUUAAAUACUCGCAUGGUCUUGGUGAGCUUAGAUAAUUGUGCAGACGAUAAGCCCUCGUGGUUUAUAUAAGUUGUACAUGUUGUAUUAAAGGUGUAGUCAAGUAACAACUUCUUAAAAGUGCCACCUUACUUGCUGUUAAGUAAUUAAAGACUCACAUGGUCUUGGUGAGCUUAGAUAAAUGUACAGACAGUAAGCUCUCAUGAUUGAUGUAAGAUUGUGUUAAGGUGCAGUCAAGUUGCAAUUUUUUUUAAAAUAAAUUCCUUGUCUCAAUUUUAAAGAAUUAAAAGGAUUAAACGCCUUUUUAAAGGAAUUCAUUGGUGUAUAAACUUAAUGACAUCUAUUAAACUAGCAACACGUUUUAAUUCCUAGGGUUACAAUAGCCAUGCAGAUGAGACGGAUCCAGAACGAAUCCAACAAAUUAUUUCAAAAGCGAUGGAAGAUAGUAAAUGGUUGGUGAAUAAAGUAAGUACAUACGGGACUAAAAGUGUUAAAUUAAUAUAGAAUUGAAAUGAUCAUAGUCGAUACAACUUUAGAUGCCAAUGAGACAACUAUUUACCAGAGUUUAAAGGAUUUAGAAGUAGAAAUAAAAAAAGAGGAUGUGGUAUGAUUGCUUAUGAGACAACCCAAAGGUCGAUAGGUCGCGGAACGGCCUCAAAAUCCAGUAACAGUAAUUAAAUGACUCGAGAUGACAAACUGUUAAAAUAUUUAUCAUUUUUCUAACCUUGUUCCUAGUUCUGGUCUUUGUUGAUGAUCAAUCUGCUAUUGGGUAGCGCAAUUUUUAAUCACUCAUCAUAAUUUAUCGGAAUAAUAAAAACUACGGAUGUCAUGUGUGGAGCAGGAUCUGCUUAUACUUCUCACGGGAUCACCUGUGAACACCCGGUUGUUGGCGGUGUUCGUGUUGCCUAGUCUCUUUUCUUUUGUAUUUUAUGUACUAGCUGUUGUUUGUCUUUUGGUCAUUAAAUCGUUUUUCAUUUUCGAAUUAUAAGUUUGAUUGUGGCUUUGGUAUCUUUUGCCUCUCUUUUAUAGAUUAUUAUAUAAGUUUAUACAUUUUAUUACAGCAUAAUUUAGUAAAAUUAAUUAGUAGCGUUGUUUUAAAAGUAAGUUUACUGUCCUCAACGGUCUAAUCUAUAUCAACAAGAAACGAGAAACAUUUAUGAACCACAUCAACAAACGACAACCAGUGAACCUGUUUGACUGGGUUUCCUGUUUGAAUUAAUUUACACUAAUCACUUUAUAGCUUGCUGUUCGGUGUGAGCCAAGGCUCCGUGUUGGAGGCCGUACUUUGACCUAUAAUGGUUUACUUUUACAAAUUGUGACUUGGAUGUAGAAGUGCAUCAUUGGCAGUCAUACCACAUCUUCUUAUAUCUAGUUAAUAAAAUAAGAAUUUCAGAAAAACGGAAUAUAUAUGUCCCAUUUUCGCUUAAUUCUGAUUUAUAUUUCAUAAUUUGUCUGCAAUGACAGCUAAACAUAGAUCUGUUUCAAAGGUAAACGUUAGCCUCACAUGAAUUUAAUAUUGCUUUUCAGUAUACGAAGUGACAACAAGAAUUUCAACAAUUAUCUGGAUUAACAGCAACUCAAAACAGCUACAGAGAUCUUUGAAGUUGCCUGGCAUGUACAUUCAUCAUGAUCAGUGUGUUUUAAAAGAUGAUUGAACAUUUUGUAUGACAAGCUCAGGGAUGUUUAUGACUUCAAAGUUUCAAUAAAUGGACGAAAAAAGCAUUUGUUAUCUGCUCUUUGGUCGGGUUGUUAUCGCUUUGAUACAUUCCCC